UACGUAGGGGGCAAGCGUUGUCCGGAUUUACUGGGCGUAAAGAGCGCGUAGGCGGAAUGGUAAGCGGGGCCGGAAAGCCCCCGGCUCAACCGGGGAAGGGGCCGCGAACUGCCAUUCUUGAGGGGGAGAGAGGAGAGCGGAAUUCCUGGUGUAGCGGUGAAAUGCGUAGAUAUCUGGAGGAACACCGGUGGCGAAGGCGGCAUCCUGGACCGGCAUUGACGGCUGAGGAGCGAAAGCGUGGGGAGCGAACAGG
rnacentral:rRNA from 1 species